UGUUUCCCCAUCUAUUUCCCAUGAAGUGAUGAGACCAGAUAUGGAAUUUUGCUUGCCUUUGGGCCAUAAUUUCUGGGAAUUUAUUUUGUGUAAAUAAUCAUACAUGUGCAAAGAUACAGCAAUAUUAUUUCUAAUGUGGAAGAUUUAGAACAGGGGUCCCCAACCUCUGAGAUCUAAUGCUUGAUGAUCUGAGAUGGAGCUGAUGUAAUAAUAAAAUAAAUAAAAUGCAUAAUAGAUGUGAUGCACUUGAAUCAUCUCAGAACCAUCCUUCCUGCUCCAGUGCAUGGAAAAAUUGUCUUCCACAAAACCAGUCCCUGAGGAUGAAAAGGUUAAGGACUGCUGAUUUAGAAGAAAGAAUUUUUAUUUUGUUGUUAUUUUAUUCUUGCCGAGCUAUAUUUCUAUGAUAAUUAGAAAAUAUUUAUUAAUUAUGGAAUAAGAAAUCAGCAAAAAAAUCUGAUAAGAAAAAUAGUUUGUCCCUGGUUAGGUAGCUUCUUUGGUGUCUAUCAAUUGAGGAUCCCUUCCAAGUACGUCAUGUAAACUACUCCAGGGUCACAGAAAUGCUCAGGUCCAAGGAUGGGUGGAAAACCUGUGUGCAAAUCAUCCUGAGACAAAACCUCUCCUGGCAUCAGAGCAAAGCACGCAAAAGGUCAGAGAAGUGGUCAUGUGUGGAGAAAUAUAGGCAAAAUUUGAAGUUUUUGAUUAAUUCAAAUAUAUAUGCAUAUAUGUUUGGAAAACAGUUUAUAAUUUUUAAUUUUUUUUUUAAAAACACAACUAAAUAACACAUUAAAUACAGGCAGCUCUUGGCAUUUCAUCCUCGCAAAACCUUGGAGCCCGCCUCCUUCAUCAAACGUCUGUUUCUCUCCAGUUCAGCUUCAUUACCACGGAGUUUCAUGCAAAUAGACAAGCAUUGCAGAACAUCAUCUUUUCUCAAACCAGAACUGAUCUGAAUCUGUAUUAAAACAGCAGGAAUAAAUGAAAACAUCUCUAUGAAGUCUUAACUCAGAACUGAAAUAUUAGAAGCGACAGUCUCGCAUCCAGUCUCACAUUUCACCAGGCAAGAAUAUGCAAGUGGGUUGCCAUUUCCUCCUCCAGGAGAUCUUCGUGCCCAGGGAUUGAACACGCGUCUCCCGUGUCUCCUGCAUUGAAGACAGACUUCCUGCAUGCGGUUGGACACACCGCUACCAGCAACUCCUGCGUCCCCUAUCUCACAAUUUUGCUACGAGAAGAAAAGAAGAAGAUAAAAAAGCCACUUGACUAAAAUUGCCCACCUCCUCGCCCCCAACCUGACGCCAGUUGGAAAGUCCCAGGGAAAGCCUCCCCUGGACUCAGGUGGGGUGAGGGGCCCCGGGUGGGGACGCGCCCUCUGUCAUCCAGUCCCCACAGGAAGCAGCAGGCUGCAGUGAGAGAGAAGCAGUCUCCCCUAAGAAGAGAGGGGGGGUCCCCAGAAAUGAGGAGGGGUCAGAGGCAGUCAGAGCGAUACAUGCUCACACCGAAGCAAAGGGGGUCAUUGUUCUUCUUGCUUCACUCCCUGGCAAGCGGGACCCUAGGCUAAGGGGGAAGCUUGUGGUCAAACCCACAUGUGGCCGACACGGGGAACACAGUCCAGAACAGGUUGAAAGGCGCCUCCGAGUUAAAGUGCUCAGCAAUAAAAGGUAAACCAAGUUAUUCUGGUGCCUGUAACCUAAACCAUUCCAGUUUAUAGUCUUAACGAAAGUACUACAGGACCAAGGAUCAAAACCAGACUGUAUUUUGUUAGGAAACGGCACUAUUUCAGAGUUUUGUUUUGUUUUGUUUCCCCACCAAGUUUUAUUCAUCUGCUGUUAAAUCAUGCGUAUGAUUUACUUGGGGCUAUGACUGAAAUUUUUUCAAUUAGAAAAAUGUGAAUUACAGAUACGUUAUUUACAACGCA